GCGGGUAUAAUUCAACCCAUAUACUGCUCAACCCAACACUCGAUUUUAUUGAGGAGUUCAAAGCAAGUCUCCCUGAUGAUUCACUUGCUCUUACGAACAACGAUAGUAGCCAAUGGUCUGUUGGUACUGCUACUUCUAUUCGUGCCAGGUUUUUUGUUCUUAAUGAGAGGCUAACCAUCGGAGAGAUCAUUGAUAGCUCUGUGGUUGGCACUUUUGUUACUCUU